CUAAAGACGGUACCACCCACUAUACCCAGCACAAGCACUCUACAGACUUGGCACAGGCCCAGGACUCGGGGAAUCCAUCCUGAAGCAGUGGAUCGAUUACUUGUAGAGGAAGCCAAAACCCUCUAGCAGAAGUGGUAUUAAGUCCACUCUUUGCAGGGCCUACACAGGUCCCCUUCCCAAUAAUUUGCUGCUCUCUUCUGUGGAGUCUUUAGGCCUCAGCCACUGAUCUGCAUGGCUUGUCGGAGUUGAAUCUGAUGGAGUCUAAGUUUGGCCUAGUACCCAAAGGUUCUUUGCUGUCCUAUCAGUGCCCUGCUGAGUCAUCAAUGGAUGCUGUCAAACAUGCAGAAGCCCCUGCUUUCCCUACGCUUCCUCUGGAUGGGUAUACAUUUGAAGGAAGAUUUAAAUUUGUCCCGAAUUUCCAUGAUAUGUUGUUCUUAGAAAGCUUGGCAGUCACUCAAGAACUAAGCACAAUAAUUGAAAAAGACACACGGCACCAGUCACAGUCUGCUCUGUGGAACCAAAUGCGUACACCACGCUUUUACAUGCUUUUUACAGUAGAUUCUGUGAGGUGUGUCAUGUCAGAGGAGAGUCGACCAGCCAGGCACUAGCUGUCCGAAUCAUCAAAGGGGUUCGUCAGACUUCUGCAAUGAAGCGUGGACUGGAUCUUGAGCCUGAAGUGCUAUUUCAGUACUCUGGUAUGAUGAAUGUCAGUUUUUUACAGUGUGGGUUUGUUGUACAUCCUGAUGCGCCACACCUUGGCACAAGCCCUGAUG